AUCAGCGCCUAUACCACGUAGAAAGCACCGGUUCUUCUCCAAUCACCGAAGUUAAACUACGUCGAAGCGGGUUAAUAUCAGGUUGUAACGGAAGUUCUGCCCAAUUUUUGAGC
rnacentral:rRNA from 1 species